AUUGUGAGGUUUGAUGUCAAAAUGCAAAAUUUGUACGCUACAGCCUCUGUGAAGAUAUUCAAUUCCUCGAGCAAUAUCCAAAGAAAUUUCAUAUAUUUUUUCACAACUCAAAGCAACGUCUUGUUUUUGUGAAAAAAUGUAUUUCUCAAGAGAUCCACUGCACAUAAAUUCAUAUACGAGGGCACGCUUAGAUCUUUCAGCACAAAAUCCAAUAAGUUGCACUAUGUUAGUGUGAUGAAUUCUCCCAAUUGUAGCAACUUCAUUGAUAAAUUCUUGUCCAUUGGCUUUUGACUUGCCCAGUAUCUUUAUUGCCACAAUUCUGCCACUUGCAAGCUUUCCUUUGUAUACUGAACCGUAGCCUCCCUCACCCAAUUUAUCUUUGAAACCUCCAGUCAUCUUCUUGAUGUCUGAAUAAGAAUACAUGAUAGGCAUGAGGUUAUUGUGACUUCGGAGGAAUUCUUCAAUUGUAUCAUACAUUGAUAAAUGUCUCCUUCGCCAUUUUGUAAUUAAGAAUGUAGCUAUGCAUGCCGUCCCACUUAGACAUUUUAAUGCUGCAUAAACAAAGCGCAAAUGUAAUCUAUUACUUGGGCAAAAUAACAAUUCUAACAAUUUAGAGCGAAACCCUUUAGGCUUCUUUGAAUUUGUUGAUCACGUGUCAUUUGAAAUUUUUUAUAUUAAUACAUAAUUUUCGAUCGUAAUUCCAAAUAACUGAAUCAUUGCUAAAAUGAGAAAGGACAUGCUGGUGAUCUUACCGACGAUUAAUAGAAGUUCAAUAAUAUCUGCAAAAAGGAAAAUAAAAUUAAUCAUUUCAAUAAGCAUAUUAUUGCAAUAAAUUGUAAAUGUGAUCAGGUAAAAGAGACGAAAAUACUCACAAGAGGCCAGGAAAAUGUACCACUCGAACUCUCCAUAGCAUCCUGAAAACUCUGAAAAAUCAUCAUUAAAUUUGCAGCGGCUGUCUCUGAAAAUGUUCUGGCACUCUUCGCAAUAAAUCUCAGACCAUGAAAGUUGAAACCCAUAUAGCAGCUCCUCGAAGACGUCCAAGUAGGAACAGUUCUUGUCGCAUUUUUUUAACGACGCUGUGACGACUGCCAAGUCCACGCUGCACAAAUCUGGAAUCUGUGAUAACUCCACGUCUCCAAACACAACAUACGAAUAUGAACGCCUGUUCUUGUUGGGGGAGGCAAAUGAAUACUUCGAAUUACACACACCAUCAACACAUGGCUGUGUGUCCACAAAGAGAGGAGAGUCAACUGGAUUCUCACAAUUCAUGAACGUUACCUUUUUUGACGACGGCGACAACUGAUAAGGAUAUUCGAAAUAAGAAGAAAAGUUAUCAGCCGUUAAAGGAAAAAGAGGAAGGGAGGAGCAAUUUCCCUGUUGCAAACCAGCAUCAACAACACGGAUGGUUUUAUUAUUGCGAUGGAUAGCCCGUACGUAGUAUUUCCUCGAAAACAACUUUAAUACUGUGUUAUUAUUCUCACAGGCCAGAAGAUAGUUAGGAUCACCGCAAUUGUUUGGGUCCCCUUCUAUUCCAAAGGGAUAGGAAAUAUUUUCUAUAUUGCCGCAGGAAGGAGGCUUAUCACAGCGAUGGAUUUUCUUAGCAAAGCAAGUCACGCUAAGUAGGAAGAGAAAAGAAAGGAUUGGAUAACUUGCAGAGAGGACCCUGGACAUGGCAACAGAGCGAUAGAAACAGAGAGAAAAAGAGAGGCUCUUCUCCAAACAGAGAAGUCGGUAUAGUGUUUUUUCUUCCCUUGUAAGGUGUGGGCUUGUGGCUGUGGCUUCUUUUUUCUCUUCCUUGAGGUAAAACUCACACAAGAGACAAGUA
rnacentral:misc_RNA from 1 species